rnacentral:rRNA from 1 species
AGUGAACGCUGGCGGUAGGCCUAACACAUGCAAGUCGAACGGCGGCACAGUAAGAGCUUGCUCUUACGGGUGGCGAGUGGCGGACGGGUGAGGAAUACAUCGGAAUCUACUUUUUCGUGGGGGAUAACGUAGGGAAACUUACGCUAAUACCGCAUACGACCUACGGGUGAAAGCAUGGGAUCUUCGGACCUUGCGCGAUUGAAUGAGCCGAUGUCGGAUUAGCUAGUUGGCGGGGUAAAGGCCCACCAAGGCGACGAUCCGUAGCUGGUCUGAGAGGAUGAUCAGCCACACUGGAACUGAGACACGGUCCAGACUCCUACGGGAGGCAGCAGUGGGGAAUAUUGGACAAUGGGCGCAAGCCUGAUCCAGCCAUACCGCGUGGGUGAAGAAGGCCUUCGGGUUGUAAAGCUCUUUUGUUGGGAAAGAAAAGCAGCAGGUUAAUACCCCGCUGUUCUGACGGUACCCAAAGAAUAAGCACCGGCUAACUUCGUG